rnacentral:rRNA from 1 species
AGUAACACGUGGAUAGCCUACCUAUAAGACUGGGAUAACUUCGGGAAACCGGAGCUAAUACCGGAUAAUAUAUUGAACCGCAUGGUUCAAUAGUGAAAGACGGUUUUGCUGUCACUUAUAGAUGGAUCCGCGCCGCAUUAGCUAGUUGGUAAGGUAACAGCUUACCAAGGCAACGAUGCGUAGCCGACCUGAGAGGGUGAUCGGCCACACUGGAACUGAGACACGGUCCAG